rnacentral:rRNA from 1 species
UACGUAGGGUGCAAGCGUUAAUCAGAAUUACUGGGCGUAAAGCGUGCGCAGGCGGCUAUGCAAGACAGAUGUGAAAUCCCCGGGCUCAACCUGGGAACUGCAUUUGUGACUGCACAGCUGGAGUGCGGCAGAGGGGGAUGGAAUUCCGCGUGUAGCAGUGAAAUGCGUAGAUAUGCGGAGGAACACCGAUGGCGAAGGCAAUCCCCUGGGCCUG